rnacentral:lncRNA from 1 species
CAGAAUUCAGAGCCGGCUCUGUCUGGGGCGGCCCAGGCCUCAGCCCCAGCAUUCCUGACCCCCUCCCCCCAAGCCUGGGACAGCUGCUCCGGAACUCAGCAACUGGCUGGGGAUCGAAUCCCAAUUCAGCUUUUCCAGAGGCUCGGCCAUUUCUCCAUGAUGACACAGAAGUACGGCGCUCUCAGGUCCUUACCUCAUAAUCCACAUGCAAUUGGAUUGCAGAGCAUUUGUGGGACACAAGAGGAACAACAGACCAAGACCCUUGAACCUCCCACAGAGAAGCUCCAGGCAGUCGCAUCCUUCAGGGUGUCUCUCCCUGUGUCAUUUGCUGCAGCUGGCUUUUCAGGGCUGGGGAUGGAACUCUGGGACUCCUGCAUGUUGGUAAGCACUCUGCCACUGAGCCACAUCCUCAAACUUCUCUCCCUUUCUAUGUGACUUUUCCCUCCUUCAGUACAGUUAGACUUCUCGGUCAUCCAUAGCUUCCAAGAGGGCAGAAGUAAAAUUUGCCAACUCUCAGCAGUUAAGAACACUUGGCUGCUCGAGGAAGGAAGACCAACCCUGAGUAUGGGAAGCACAGUUCCAUGGGAUGAUGCUCUAGACUGAAUAAUGGAGAGCACCAACAUUCAUCUCUCUCUGCUCCCUGGAAGUGGAUGCAACAGGGCCUGCUGCUUCCCACUCUGUAGCCACCCACCCUGUCUGUACCAUCAGCGACUGUAUCCCUCAAACUGUGGACCGAAAGCCCUUCCUCCGUUAAGUUGCUUUUGGGGGAGGUGUUUUGUCAUAGCAAUAAGAAAAGUAACCAGCAGAGCAUGGUGGUGCACACCUUUAUUUAGUCCCAACACUUGGGAGGCAGAGGCAAUCUGACCUCUGUGAGUUCAAAGACAGCCUGGUCUACAGAGUGAGUUCCAGGCCAGCCAGAGACCUUGUCACCCAAACAGCAAAAUAAAAUAAGUCAUUAAUACCUAACUAGAAUGUGGACUGGGUUGCUAAAAGGUCUCCAUUUUAAUUCUUGCUCUCCACUGGGCCAGAGCUAUGAUACUAAAUCCUUUACCUACAGAAAGCUUAGUGGCUGGGAGAUAGGAGAGAAAUGGAGAUUUGAGGGGUUGGGGAUUUAGCUCAGUGGUAGAGCGCUUGCCUAACAAGCACAUGGCCCUGGGUUCAGUCCUCAGUUCUGAAAAAUAAAAAAAGACAAAAUAACAAGAAAU